ACUGGCCCAAUUCUUCUUGAAUGCAUAACAUGCUACAACAUAUGAUAUAAUAUAUUACAUAUCUUAACUCUCAAAAUGUCUGUAGUAGACAGAAAUAUUUAAAAGAAUGACGAAUUAUUAACAUGACCUUGAGCGUAAAUUUCAAGAUCGCGUGUAAAUUAUGUUUGGGUCGAAGAUGCAGGAAAACUGCGACAUAUUGGUGAAGUUUAUCCUGUAUGUGUGUUGAUUUAUUCAGUAAACCAGAUAUAUACUUUUGCUCUAUUGCAUCUCACGAUGCAUCUUAAUAGUCGAUGCACAAAUGCAUUAUAUCGUUAUUAAAAAAAAAAUGCAUAGCAUAAUAAUGUUUACAUGAAUUUAUUUGAACUUUAACAAUAAGCGAGAAAUUUAAAAAAUUGUGUUUUAAAGAAAUAAUAAUUAAUAUUAAUUAUAAGUUUUGUAAAAUUCUACUUUUCGUAAAAGCGACUUGAUGAAAAUCAAUGAACUGUGACUGCACUAUUACGUCACGCACGAAACUAUAUAUAGAUAUUUAUUGAUGUAAAAAUAGUACAAAAUUUAUGUUUAAGACAUAAUCACAUAAUUAUGUUUAGCAAGGUUUAUAUUUGAAUUGAUUAUCAGUUAUCAUCCAUGUUGCAACAUAAGUGAAUACUUUAAGGGCUUCAUCCAUUUAAAGCUGCACAACUACAAUAGCGGAAAUGCACAUUAAAGAAAUUCAAAAAAUGCAAAUUGUUAUUAUGAAUUUCCAUCUCAAGUAUUAUUUCAUUUGUUCGAAACGCAGAACAGUUGUUAUAGGAGACAUUUUAGUUAUAUAUAUAAAAUAAAAUAAAAUAAAAUAAUAAUAAAAAAAAAAAUCCUUCCAAGAUUACGAAAUUACAGAAAAAAAAUUAUUGUUCUAAUUUGGAGUGUGGCUAUGUCGUGGUGCAAACAGUCAGCUAAUGAUACAAUCACGUUAUUAUAUUCGCAGUCGAGAAACUUUCUUCCAGGGAUCUGUGUUGUUCGAGAAACACAGUCUCAGUCCGACUUGUGAUUUUUAAACACCAUUAUUGAUUUCGUAAUGAACGUAAAAAUAAUUUAAUACAAAAUUCAGCGUAUUUAAAUAUUUAUUACGCAUCGUGCGUAAAAACGAUUCACAUUAGUAUAAUGUGCAAUUGCGAUAUAAUCACCGUAUAAACUAUAUAAAUCAUAACAUAACAAAUAAUUAAAAAGUUACUUUAUUAUCGAAUUGGCGUAAAUACAUAAAUCGUUUCUUUUUCAUAAAAUGUCGUGCUCUAAAUAAUUAAAAUUAAUAAUAAUAGGAAGAUAAGGAUCGCACUAUACUCGUUUGAAUGAUUUUUGUUCGUGAUUCGUACACCUGUCAAACGUACAACCGCGAUCGUAAUUCACGAACGCGAAUCAAGUAACAGAGUGGUGGAAGUAAAACGAUAUCGCCAACGAUAUAGGUGGAAGCGUAGAUAUUGCAACAAGUGUCCUCUACUUUCAAGUAUAUUAUGCAUCCUAUGCUAUAUAAUUAUACGAGAAUGUUAUGCGUUUGUUAAUGAUGUCGAAAUCACGUGCCAAAGUUACAUAUUUCUUAUACUCGAAAAGGACCGAAAGACGCAAGUGAACAGAUCGUGCAAACGUGAAACCGCGUCAUAAAUAUCUGACGAAUUCCAAAAAAAAAAAAUCGCGAAUACAAGUUUUAUGUGCGGAUGUAUUGGUACGAGGACAAGAUCGAAGCCGUCAACGAUGGUGCCGUUAUCGGAAGCGCAUUCCGACGAUUUGGCCUUCGAGCUCACCUCCUCGUACCGACGUUGUUUGGAGCGGCCGCAUCGUCGUUCCGCGUCUUUCUGAGGAAAAACCGUGUAAAGACCAUCGUACAACCCGUCGCAUAUGGAUAUAGCACUCUCGUUACAUGCACUGACAAAAAGUGUUACAAAAUCAUGCCACCGAUCGAUAGUUCGCUAGACGAGCAAAAAAUAAGUACGAGAAAACUACACACGAUAUAACCGAGCACGAGACAUAUCGUAAACUGACAAGUUUGCCUGUAGAGGGCCGCGUUUACCGUUUGCUUCUUCAAUAUGACAUACAAUUCCUCGGAUCUGGAUGGACCGUAUCAUUAGCAUUUUUUAGUUAACGAUAGAGAGGGCUAUCAUUCGAAAAAAACGAACAAAUAUACGGACUAAAGUAAACCCUGUUCAGUCCAAGAGUAGAACGAACAAGGUAAUUACGCAUUUGACUAGAUCUACAUAUAAUAACUACCUUAUACUGGUUUAAACGCGGCACCCUUUCGCGCCACGAAAAAAAAGAAUACGGAGUUUUGUACAGUGAGUCACUCGUAGGCGUGUCUUGGAUUAAUCCUAAGCACCUGUGCUGAGGCUAGUUAUACAGUGCACUUGCGAAUAACUGAUACAGUGAAAGGGGUACUUAAAGUUUUGCUUGAGUUGGCGGAUCGAUGUUCCAAAAGAGUGAACACGUUGCACCCCUUCUUUCUUGGGCGUACGUACGUAUUCCCAUGUGUAAAGUUGGGGAAAACGUCUGGUAAUGAGGGGGCGUUCAUCGUCUCUGCCGAUUUUGUCACUUUAUCGGCCACCCGCAACGUUACAGUGGAAAAAUAGAAACAUAUUUAUCUUAUGAAUGACAAAAAUUCAUAAAAUAUUAACCAUGAAGACUGAAGGUAAAUCGGAUCACGUACAAACUCGAUGACUAACUUGAAGCGACAAAUUUAAUAAAGUUAAUAGAAUAUAUUACAUCAUCUUCGACCCUUAGAACGUUUAUCAUAUAUGUCUGGGAUGACGUUAAAGAAAAUUUAUUUUCACUGUCGUUCGAAGGGCGCGAAAUGCAAUCUGCUUCAUUGAACGAACGAGUAACGCGAAACAAUACGAAAAUAACACUGGCGGAGCUAAUGGUUUUAUCUAAACAUUAUACUAUCAAAUUAUAGCUCUGGAAAACGAUAUAAUGGUUAUUCCAAUCUAGUAAAAAAAAAGAACGGAAUGUACUAGAUCGAUCAACUUCGAUUAUCAUUUAUCUGUGCGUAUUCAUGUCAUCUUCGUUAUGCAAUCCCGUACAUUGACGUAAAAGUAUAAUAAUUCAUGUGCAUUUGUUAAAUAUUUCGUUAGAGUAACACAAUGUACUGCACAACCUAGCAUUGAAAUCACCCGAUAAAUUCAGUGAUCGCAAUGCUGUCUAUAGUAUCAAAGUGAUCGGUACACGCAUUAUAACGACCCGCUUUUAAACGGACGUAUUAAUAAUAUUCCGACGAAAUGAAUUCUAUUAUGCUCGAACUCUACCUUUUCGGAUACAAGUGAAAUAGAAUUCAAUGCAAUUGGUAUGAUCGAUAGCAUGUAGUAUAGAGAGAGAAACAUAAAACCUUAAUGAAGACUGUUAACUAUACUUCUUACGAUUAAGAUAAGCACAGCUAACGAUGUUUUCCGACGCUAUAAAGUAAUUCCUAUAAAAUUUCUUUUGAAAUAUAAAUUACAACCAUUUGUUUCUCUCUACACACCAGUACUAAAUUUCAA